rnacentral:tRNA from 1 species
GAGGGUAUAGCUCAGUGGCAGAGCGCAUGCUUAGCAUGCACAAGAUCCUGGGUUCAAUCCCCAGUACCUCCA